CAUAUUUACCCAUAUUUAUAUGGGCGGAUUGCAAUCCAAACCAUUUUUGUUCGAUCCAAAUUUAACCCGUCCAAAUCUAAUCCAAUCCGCCCAUUUGACACCCCCUAAUAAAAUCUAUGGUGUUCUAACCAAGACAUCUGCCCGUUUGACACCCCUAAUAAAAUCUAUGGUGUUCUAACCAAGACCCUAACUCCUCUUCCUCCUGCAACUUUAUCAUGUUUUAUCAUGUUUUAUUCUGACAAGGGAGAACAUCUAUGCGUGUUGCUUGCUCUCUAGCAUGUUUUGAUCAUGUCUUGGAUUGUUGAUUGAUGUGAAUAUUUAAUUGUUGAAUAUAAAUUCAUCUUUUCAGUAUUGCAAUGUAGAUAUGUGACAUAAAUAAUGUAGUCAUAGAUGUAAACAAUAUAACACUUGUCAACCAUAUAAUAUCAACAUGUAAAUAUACGCCGUUUAGCUAAGAAAUAUGUCCCAAUAUUGGGCCCGUGCAUUAGUACCUAGUUGAAGUAAUAAGAGCCCAGCCCUGAUGGUUCUAGUAGUGGGUUUUUACAGGCUGCUUGGGGGGUAAUAGGACAGGAUGGCUCUAGUAGUAGGUUUUUUCUGAUGAGUGUACUAUUAUGAAAACUAGGAUUUCUCAUGGUAGAAUAUUCAUAAAGAUUGAUAUUACUAAACCACUCCAAUUGAGAUCACAAUCAGGGAUGCAAAAUAAUUUCAGCAGCCCAUCCAUUUUGAUUGGAAGCCAUAAAAUUGUGAUGAUUGUAUGAUGGUGGGUCACUCAUGUCCUAAGACUAAACAACCUCAACCUGCUCCUCCUAAAACUAAGCAGGUGUAGCAGCAAAGACAAAGGCCCCCCAAACUGAUUCCUACUUGGUUUCCUAAGCUUGAAGAACCACAAGUACAAGAACAACAUGAACCAGUGCCUCCUCCUGAGAAUGUAGUUGAGUCUAUUGUAACAAAAUCACAUGCAAACAAGCUUAAUUCUGGUGAUGCUAUAGCUGGAGAUGGUAGUCUUACUCCUGUGAUAUCCAGAGGUAAUCAAGUUACCGAUUUCUAUAGCGGUAAAAAAAAUUACGCACAAACUACAUCCUUGACUAUGAAGAAUGAGUUUGAUAUCCUACAAUCUACUAAUACUGUGAUGGUUGAUCAGCUUCCUCCUGAUGCGAGGGGGACCUUAUACAAAAAUUAAUGUCUUGCCUAGCUUAGGAUGUACGAGGAUUCAAUAGAAUGUAGAAGCAAAGAGAAUUAAUUAAUUAUAUUAAGGAGAAUCAUAUAAAGUUGGUAGGGUUGAUAGAAACUAGAUAUAAAUCCAAUAAAGCAGCAGUUAUAGCACAAUCUGUAGUUCCUGGAAGGAGUAUUCUUCAUAAUUACACUAGUGCUUCCAAUGAUUGAUUAUAAGCUGCCUCAUAUGUCAGACCAUUCACUUAAGAUCCUACAUUUUCACACUUCCUAUAUUCCAACAAAGGUUCCCUUCGGGUUUUUUAAUACGUGGGUUGCUCAUGAAGAGUUUGGAGAGUUAGUUCAAAAGGCAUUGGAAUAUCAACUCUCAUGACAGCAGAAUAAGAACUGUUUGGCCCAAGUUGAAGGGGGUGAAGCCUCAUAUGAAAUUGCUUAACAAUAAUCAUUUUAGGCAUUCAACUAUCAAGGUGAAUCAAAUUAGAGAUCAGUUGCAAGUCACUCAACAUCUCUUAUCCACUCAAUAAUCAGAUUUCUUAGCACCAGAUGAGAGAGACUAGUUGCUUAAUUUGGAGAAAUAGAGUCACAUUGAAGAGGGUAUAGUUCAACAGAAGUCCAGAGCCCUAUGGAUUAAACUGGAGACUCAUAAACAAAUACUUUUCUAUUGUAAUGAAAUAAAAGAGGAACAAGAAGAAAAUAGUAGAAAUGUUGAAAUUUGCUUUAAGUUGCUAGCCAAUAAAGACCUAUUACAUGCUGCAAUGUUUUGUAUAAAUGUAUAAGCAAAAUGAUUUGCAUGAGACUAAGAGGAACCAUAAACCAUCUGGUAGCAGACAACCAGAUGCAUUUAGAGAUGCAUUGGCUCAAUAGGUAGGAGUGCAAUGGCCACCCGGAGAUACAAAACAUGUGCCAGAAGGAAUUAAAAGGAGAAGGUGGAAAAUUUGGCAGAUUGAAGGAUGAACCCCUAAACAAGAUUUAACUUACCUCAACCUCAACAACCAAGAAUCAGAUGAAAACUUAUUCAGAAAAGUAUGUCAAACAUCCAAGAAUAGUCCAUCAUUUGCUUCACCAAAGUGAGUCAUGACUCUAAAAAAAGGCAGAAAUCAUGCACUGGAUUAAGUCAUUAAGUUAUCUGUAAUAGGUCAUUCAGUCUAUUAAGUCAUUCAGUCAAAAUUUAGCUAUGCAAAAUUACUUUAGACAAGUUAAAGAUUAUCUUUAAAGCUCUAAUGCUCUAAAUUCAAAGCAACAACUUACCCAAUUUCAGACAAGUUAAAGAUUAAGCUCUAAAGCUACUCAAACUAGUAAACAAUAAAAUGACAUUGUGUCAGCACUAAAUUUUGGGUGUUUGUGUGUGUAAGUGGAUAAAAGGGUUAGACAAGAAUAGUAAUAGUCUUCUUUGGUGGGUAGCGAAACUCAUCGAACCUCCGGUGUGCAGAGAGCUACCCGUUUCAAAGGCUCGAUUUUCCUCUCCCCAUUCCCUCUUCGCCUUAUAUUCAGGAGUGUCCCAUUAUAUUAAGAACUUAGACCACACUUCAUCAUUCAACCAAUUAGGUUUUACCAAUUUACUUCGGGCCUCAUACAAGUGUUCUUUGAUCCAUAGAGCUGAUUUCAACCGAAAAAUACGGUCUACUUCAUUACCAUGGCAAUCACUCCAUGAACACUUUGUCUGAGAAACUAGUUUAAUAUAAAGUCAUAAAAUGAGUUGAUGGAUACAAUGAAAAAACUGUCUUUAGGCAAUGAGAUUCAUAGCUUAUAAAACUGCUUAUACCAUAAACUAUUUCCACAUAACAAUUCUAAUUUCGUAUGGAAUCUCUAACCAACUAUUCCACAGCUCUUUGAAAAAUGGUUUAAUUGCUUCUAUAACCAUAUGCCUGGCGGCAUAUGUUGGAAUGAACUUGCAAUAAAACUAUAUUAAACCAUCAUCUUAGCUUUUAAAAAUUAAGGAAAAACUUAAGGGUUACUUACCCAUCACAAUAAGGGACGAUUCGUAGCCUCCCAAACUUGUCAUAUUCUAAUACCUCUUUAAAUUGCAGAUUUUGAGAAGCACCUGCUUUAGCAUUAGACUCUAUAGCACUAUCAAUGGAUGGCGAUGUUGGUGUGUUAGGACCUCCAAUUCUCAAUCCAGAAAGGCUUGGUGUGGAUGAUGUCGAAGGCACAUAUGAAGAGCUACUAUGCAGAC
rnacentral:lncRNA from 1 species